rnacentral:rRNA from 1 species
UACGGAGGGUGCGAGCGUUGUCCGGAAUCACUGGGCGUAAAGGGCGCGUAGGCGGCCUGAUAAGUAGGGGGUGAAAUCCUGCGGCUUAACCGCAGGGCUGCCUUCUAAACUGUCAGGCUAGAGCACGGUAGAGGCAGAUGGAAUUCCCGGUGUAGCGGUGGAAUGCGUAGAGAUCCGGAGGAAGACCGGUGGCGAAGGCGGUCUGCUGGGCAGUUUCUGACACUGAGGCGCGACAGCGUGGGGAGCAAACAGG